UUUUAAACAUUGCUCAGAGUGUAGCAAACUAUACCUGUGUAAGCUGGACUCCUUCAUUCCUUUUGAAACGAUAUGUCUUGAAGGGUAUUCGUGAUGGCCCCCAUGAGCCAUUUAUCACAGAUUCUGUUGACUUUGUUGUAUCCCAGGAGUAGCAGCCAAGAAGACGGAACAAGAAUGGGAAAAGUGGAGGGUUGUCCCUCCUAAAUUAGAGCGAGGCGUAAGCCAAAUUCUUUCAUUUCUAUCUGAAUUAUGUGAUGGAUAAUUCUAAUGGCCAAGUCAAGUGAAGUUACUUUAAAGGAAACAAACGCUAAAAAGAGAGAGGCAUCUGCUAAACAAACCUCAAGUGGAUCAUCAUUUUCAAGCAUUGAGCAUUUCCCGCUUAAAGAAGAGAAACACUCUAGGCUUGAAACUUGCGCUCGGUAGCUGUUCAACAACGAAGAUUGCAGGAUCAUGUUCUUCUGCUUGUUAUUUUGCUUUGCGGCCUAAUGUUCCUUGUUAAUGAAUAUAAACUAAUUUCUUUUGCUGCUAGGCAUUAUUUAAUGCUUGUAAUAGAUAUAGCAAAUUAGACAAAGCACAAAACCUUGAGUAAUUUUUGUAACAAUCAAACGGUUUGCAAACAAUGCAUAUAUGAAAUAUAAUCUAAUAGCCUUAUUAUCUUA